rnacentral:ncRNA from 4 species
CCAAGAAAUAGAGGUUGCGGUGGGCAACGAAAACUGGGGAGUGCCGUAUCAUGUUGAACCAGUUGUAAGUGCCACCGCCGAAAUGUUGCACGAUAUUCGGAUCGUGCGCAUUGGGCCAUGGGUGCAUAACCCAUGGACUGUCGAAGCACUCGCUUCGGGGCGCUAUGAUUCUG